CAGCAGCCGCGGUAAUACGGAGGAUCCAAGCGUUAUACGGAAUCAUUGGGUUUAAAGGGUCCGUAGGCGGUCUUGUAAGUCAGUGGUGAAAGCCCAUCGCUCAACGGUGGAACGGCCAUUGAUACUGCAGGACUUGAAUUAUUGGGAAGUAACUAGAAUAUGUAGUGUAGCGGUGAAAUGCUUAGAGAUUACAUGGAAUACCAAUUGCGAAGGCAGGUUACUACCAAUUGAUUGACGCUGAUGGACGAAAGCGUGGGUAGCGAACAGGAUUAGAUACCCCAGUAGUCCCUGUCUCUUAUAC
rnacentral:rRNA from 1 species